UAAAAGGUUAAAUGUCCCCACAGGUAGC
rnacentral:piRNA from 1 species